AUACUUACCUGUCAGGGGAGAUACCAUGAUCCCGAAGGUGGUUUUCCUAGGGAGAGGUUUAUCCAUUGCCCUCCGGAUGUUCUGGCCCCUGCGAUUUCCCCAAAUGUGGGAAACUCGACUGCAUAAUUUGUGGUAGUGGGGGACUGCGUUCGUGCUCUCCCCUA